UACGAAGGGGGCUAGCGUUGCUCGGAUUUACUGGGCGUAAAGGGCGCGUAGGCGGUUCGUACAGUCAGACGUGAAAUUCCUGGGCUCAACCUGGGGGCUGCGCUUGAUACGUGCGGACUUGAGUGCGGAAGAGGGUCGUGGAAUUCCCAGUGUAGAGGUGAAAUUCGUAGAUAUUGGGAAGAACGCCGGUGGCGAAGGCGGCGACCUGGUCCGAUACUGACGCUGAGGCGCGAAAGCGUGGGGAGCAAACAGG
rnacentral:rRNA from 1 species